AUUGAACGCUGGCGGAAUGCUUUACACAUGCAAGUCGAACGGCAGCACGGACUUCGGUCUGGUGGCGAGUGGCGAACGGGUGAGUAAUACAUCGGAACGUGCCCAGUCGUGGGGGAUAACGUAGCGAAAGCUACGCUAAUACCGCAUACGAUCUAAGGAUGAAAGCGGGGGACCGUAAGGCCUCGCGCGAUUGGAGCGGCCGAUGGCAGAUAGGUAGUUGGUGGGGUAAAGGCCGACCAAGCAGACGAUCUGAAGCUGGUCUGAGGGGACGACCAGCCACACUGGGACAGAGACACAGCACAGACGCCUACGGGAGGCAGCAGGGGGGAAGUUUGGACAAUGGGCGCAAGCCUGAUCCAGCCAUUCCGCGUGCAGGAUGAAGGCCCUCGGGUUGUAAACUGCUUUUGUACGGAACGAAAAGGCUCUGGUUAAUACCUGGGGCUCAUGACGGUACCGUAAGAAUAAGCACCGGCUAACUACGUGCCAGCCGCCGCCGUAA
rnacentral:rRNA from 1 species